GCUUAGUUCAGUCUGUCAGCAAACGGAUGACUCAGAGUUAGAAAGAAGUGAUUAUCUGAGUCUUCAGAAACACCGGGCCUACAUGAGGGAACAUUAAUGACGAUAUGGAUGAAAAUGACGGGGGCUGAUGCUGGUUGCCAAAGGGAGGAGGCCUGAGGAGGAAAUGGGGAAAAAGUCAUGGAGACUAAUCGAGAAGGAUUAACAGGUGACAUCAUAUAACUUUGAAACUUUCAGUGAAAGGGUGAGGGGUUGGACCCCCUGGCCACAUGGCAGCUACUCCCAUGGAUGUCACAGACUCAACCAUGGGAGCAUGCACCUGGAGUCCCCGGCUGCCUCUUCAAUUUUUGUGGGGGAUCAAUUAUUAAGCAUAUAUUUACAAUAGGCCACACACAAUGCUGAGAAGAUUGAACCUAUCUUCAGAUGAACAUAUCCAACCUUGGAGAGGAUCAUAGGAGAUCAGAGAUCCAGAGGUCCAUCAAGUCAGUCAAGUAAAUGGGGGGAAUUUUUUUUUGGGGAAAAAAAUGUUCACCAGCAGAAGAUUAGCCCGGGAGCUGUUUGGACAGUGCAGAACCAAGGUGAAUUGUGGAACGUCCAGUCAGUAGGCUCAUAGAGUGCUUUAUGUUCUGAAAAGAUUUAAAUAUCUGUCCCAUGAGAUUUUGUAAUAGUUGUUGCAAGUUAAAUUCUUGGAUCCCCUUUUAAGUCAUCUUAUUAAUAAACAUUAUGA